rnacentral:rRNA from 1 species
GCUAGACCUAGUCCUACAAACAACAUUUAAACUAUUUAUUACACCCACAAAACAUUUAUCAGCCCUAGUAUAGGCGAUAGAACAGACAAAUAUAUAGGCACAAUAGAGAGAGUACCGUGAGGGAACGUUGAAAGACUUCAUCCUACAAGCAAUAAAAAGCAAAGUUUUCACCUUUUACCUUUUGCAUAAUGAUUUAGCUAGUCAAACCGGACAAAACGAAUUGAAGCCCGCCUCCCCGAAAUUAAGUGAGCUAUUGUAGAACAGUUGACAGAACGAACUCGUCUGUGUAGCAAAACAGUGAGAUGAUUUUACAAUAGAGGUGAAAAGCCUAUCGAACUUAAUGAUAGCUGGUUGUCCAAAAAAUGAAUUUAAGUUCAACUUUAAAUUUAAUUCAAGUACCCAUAAACAUCAUUUAAAUUUAAAUGUUACUCAAAAGAGGGACAACUCUUUUGAUAUGUAGACAAACUUUCAUAGAGGAUAAUGAAAUCAACACAAAACAUUGUAGGCCUAAAAGCAGCCAUCAAUUAAGAAAGCGUUAAAGCUCAAACUUAUCCAAUACUUAAUUCCCAUAUUUAAUCAAAAUCCCUUAUUUUAUAUUGGACAAUUCUAUUCUUAUUUAGAAGAUAUAAUGCUAAUAUGGGUAAAACCUGAAUGUAUUCUCCUUGCACAAGCAUAUAUACGACCGGAACAACCGCUUACACUUAACCAAACAAAUAAUCAUAACUACAUACUAGUACCUUAUUAUAUAACUUUGUUAACCCAACCCAGGUGUGCAUAUAAAGGAAAGAUUAAAAGGAGUAAAAGGAACUCGGCAAAUACGAACCCCGCCUGUUUACCAAAAACAUCACCUCUAGCACUUACCAGUAUUAGAGGCAUUGCCUGCCCAGUGAGUCACGACUUUAACGGCCGCGGUAUCCUGACCGUGCAAAGGUAGCAUAAUCACUUGUCUCUUAAUUGGGGACUAGUAUGAAUGGCACCACGAGGGUUCAACUGUCUCUUACUCCCAAUCAGUGAAAUUGACCUUCCCGUGCAGAGGCGGGGAUAAUUAUACAAGACGAGAAGACCCUGUGGAGCUUAAGUCGUAUAACUCAACAAAUACUAAUAUUUAACCUAUUGGAAUAACAUGUAUAAUCUAUGAGUUAUAGUCUUUGGUUGGGGUGACCUCGGAGCAUAAAAGAACCUCCGAAUGAAUAAAACCAAGAUUAACAAAUCUAAGUGUAAUAUUACCAGUAAUUGACCCAUAUUUUGAUCAACGGAACAAGUUACCCCAGGGAUAACAGCGCAAUCCUAUUUGAGAGCCCAUAUCGAAAACAGGGUUUACGACCUCGAUGUUGGAUCAGGACAUCCAAAUGGUGCAACCGCUAUUAAAGGUUCGUUUGUUCAACAAUUAAAGUCCUACGUGAUCUGAGUUCAGACCGGAGAAAUCCAGGUCGGUUUCUAUCUGUAAAUUCAUUUCUCCCAGUACGAAAGGACAAGAGAAAUAGGGCCAAUAUCCAUAAUAAGCCCUAGAAUUAAUAUAUGAAUUUAUCUAAAUAUACUAAAUCAACCCAUAUACCCCCAAGAACAGGGCU